GAUGAACGCUAGCUACAGGCUUAACACAUGCAAGUCGAGGGACCGGCGCACGGGUGAGUAACACGUAUCCCACCUGCCCUUUACUCGGGGAUAGCUUUUCGCAAGAAAGAUUAAUACCCGAUAUAAAGGAUGGGGAUGCGUUCCAUUAGGUUGUUGGUGAGGUAACGGCUAACGAAGCCUUCGAUGGAUAGGGGUUCUGAGAGGAAGGUCCCCCACAUUGGAAAUGAGACACGGUCCAAACUCCGACGGGAGGCAGCAGUGAGGAAUAUUUGUCAAUGGGCGGUAGCCUGAACCAGCCAAGUAGCGUGAAGGAUGAAGGCUUAUGGGUCGUAAACUUCUUUUAUAUAAGAAUAUGUAUUAUAUGAAUAAGGAUCGGCUAACUCCGUGCCAGCAGCCGCGGUAAUUC
rnacentral:rRNA from 1 species